CAGCCGCCGCGGUAAUACGUAGGUGGCAAGCGUUGUCCGGAAUUAUUGGGCGUAAAGGGCUCGCAGGCGGUUUCUUAAGUCUGAUGUGAAAGCCCCCGGCUCAACCGGGGAGGGUCAUUGGAAACUGGGAAACUUGAGUGCAGGAGAGGAGAGUGGAAUUCCACGUGUAGCGGUGAAAUGCGUAGAGAUGUGGAGGAACACCAGUGGCGAAGGCGACUCUCUGGUUUGUAACUGACGCUGAGGAGCGAAAGCGUGGGGAGCGAACAGGAUUAGAUACCCCCGUAGUCCCUGUCUCUUAUAC
rnacentral:rRNA from 1 species